CUCGUUGUCACAGAGAGAGAGAGAGAGACUCGAGUGUAAUAGGUUUUCGUUUUUUCUGUUAUUUUUGGUUUGGCAAUGGAAGCCGAAACUCGACGGAAAAUCGAGGAGAUGGUUUUGGAUAUUCUCAAGAAAUCCGACAUGGGAGAAGCCACUGAGUUCACCGUCCGAGUCGCUGCCUCCGAGCGUCUCGGCAUCGACCUCUCCGAUACCGUCAGCAAACAAUUCGUCAGAACAAUCGUUGACUCUUUUCUUCUCUCUCUUGCCGCCGAAGACGCCAACAAGAAACCGCUUCAACACUCCACAGAACCAGAGGACAAACCGCUCCAAGAUUUCAUAGAGCCGGAGCUCGUCAAACCUAAGAAAGAAGAUUUCGAAAACGUUAUUUGUCAGCUGUCAAACAGGAGGAAUGUGAUUGUUCAUAAUUUCAAAGGGAUGACGUUGGUGUCAAUUAGGGAGUUCUAUAACCAAUAUGGAAAACAGUAUCCUGGUUAUAAAGGGAUUAGUUUAUCUACUACACAAUGGUCAAUCUUCAAGAAGAGUGUUCCUGCCGUAGAGGAAGCUAUCAAAAAGAUGGAAAGAAGGCUAAGGUCGGAGCUUCAUGGUAAGGAAAAUGAAGAUGCAUCAGAUUCAGCAGUUGUUGCUGUUGCUCCUCUUGAGCCUGUCACUAUUGAUAUCAUUCGUUUUGAUGGGAAUAAUUACCAAUUCUGGGCUCAGCAGAUGCAAUUACUCUUGAAACAGUUGAAGAUUGGAUAUGUGCUUACUGAACUAUGCCCAAAUGCAACAUUAGGAGGAGAUGCAAGUGCUGAAGAAAUUGCUACAGCCAAGACUGCAGAAAAGAGAUGGGUGAAUGAUGAUUUAAUGUGUCGUCGCAAUAUCUUGACCCAUUUAUCUGAUCAUCUUUUCAAUCAGUAUGCGAGCAGAAAAAUGAGUGCUAAGGAGUUAUGGGAAGAGUUAAAACUGAUCUAUCUGUAUGAGGAAUGUGGAACUAAGAGGUCUCAGGUGAAAAAGUAUAUUGAAUUUCAGAUGGUUGAUGAGAGAGCAGUUGUUGAGCAAAUCCAAGAAUUAAAUAGCAUUGCAGACUCUAUUGUUGCCGCCGGAAUGCACAUUGACGAUAACUUUCAUGUUAGUGUCAUCAUUUCAAAGCUUCCACCAUCCUGGAAGGACUUCUGCUUCAGGGUAAUACACGAGGACUGUCUAUCUUUGUCAAAGUUAAUGGAACGGAUACAGACAGAGGAAGAAUCCCGCAAACAUUCUAGUAGUGUAGGAUUUCACCAUGCCAGUAAAGGGGGACAGAGGUGGUUUGACAAUAAGCCAACCGGCAUGUAUAGGAAUAGGUCAGAAAUUAAUGCCAAGAGUGUAGCUUGUUCUAUAUGUGGCAAGAGUGGACAUCUUUCUAAAAACUGCUGGAGAAGAUAUGACAAGCAAGCUAAUGAAAGGAAAGCAGAAGAGGAUAAGCGUACACCUGCACAAGUUGAUACACCGGGUGUGAUCGAGUAACUUGUACUGACACGCUUUGUAUUUUGAAGGUCUUCUUAUUUUUGAGGGACAGAAUUUAAGAAAGAAAGUAUUAGGUGAUGGGAAGGUUUUUCCCUUAGCCUGUCUCUCCUUGGCGAGGCCUGCACCAGGGCAUGCAUAUUGCAUAACCCGUUACAGUUUUAUAUAUAUAUAUGUUCCAGUAAGAUGGGGCAUGAUUUUUUAUUUUUUAUCUUUUCUUUUUUUAUGAGGUACAAGUUUCAAGCUAUUGGCAGAUUGACUUAAUGCCCGUUUGGAGUGUUCAGAAUUGAUUAAAUGUUUUUCAAGCAGGACCAUUAUAUGUGGCAUUUUGCUCUGCAACUGCAAGUCUUACUGACUUCCCCAGUAUAAUAUCAUUUUUUAAAUGAAUUACUGGCCCAUCAUGUUGCAUCCGUACUGUAUAAUCAGAGAACGUGUUGGAAUUGGAGGAUAGGAGUGAAUAUCAUAAAUAAGAACCGAGAAAGUGCUUAGAUGUCAGAUGUUACAACAUUCAAAUGUUCAUUUUCAAAAGUAAAGUUUUCUCUUGAUUGAAAUUCAGAAGCAGAUAUUAGAUAAUAGAUAUAUCAACAGAUGCAGACAGUAGGCAAGCAUGUCAUUUCUAUUUUAUGCACACCUUUCUGCUUUCUUUUGGACAUAUCCCUAAUGAGAUAUGCCUGCAAAAUAAAAAGCUAAUGCCUAAUGCACACUAUUGGAUGUGGUUAGUUGCUACCAUUUUUUGCAAACCAGUAGUCUGUACAUAACUUUUCAGGCUUGCCUCCUGAACUUUCCCUUCCUAUAAUCCAAUAAUUUUUGCUC